CCUACGGGGUGCAGCAGUGGGGAAUAUUGGACAAUGGGCGAAAGCCUGAUCCAGCCAUGCCGCGUGUGUGAAGAAGGCCUUCGGGUUGUAAAGCACUUUCAGUGGGGAAGAAAGCCUUGGGGCUAAUACCCUCGAGGAAGGACAUCACCCACAGAAGAAGCACCGGCUAACUCCGUGCCAGCAGCCGCGGUAAUACGGAGGGUGCGAGCGUUAAUCGGAAUUACUGGGCGUAAAGCGCGCGUAGGCGGUCUGAUAAGCCGGUUGUGAAAGCCCCGGGCUCAACCUGGGAACGGCAUCCGGAACUGUUAGGCUAGAGUGCAGGAGAGGAAGGUAGAAUUCCCGGUGUAGCGGUGAAAUGCGUAGAGAUCGGGAGGAAUACCAGUGGCGAAGGCGGCCUUCUGGACUGACACUGACGCUGAGGUGCGAAAGCGUGGGUAGCAAACAGGAUUAGAUACCCUUGUAGUC
rnacentral:rRNA from 1 species